rnacentral:rRNA from 1 species
AAUUUGAAAGCUGGCUCCGGCCCGCAUUGUAAUUUGCAGAGGAUGCUUUUGGCGAGGUGCCUUCCGAGUUCCCUGGAACGGGACGCCAUAGAGGGUGAGAGCCCCGUAUGGAUGGACACCAAACCUGUGUAAAGCUCCUUCAACGAGUCGAGUAGUUUGGGAAUGCUGCUCUAAAUGGGAGGUAAAUCUCUUCUAAAGCUAAAUACCGGCCAGAGACCGAUAGCGCACAAGUAGAGUGAUCGAAAGAUGAAAAGCACCUUGAAAAGGGGGUUAAACAGUACGUGAAAUUGUUGAAAGGGAAGCGCUUGUGACCAGACUUGCGCCGGGCAGCUCAUCAGGGGUUCUCCCCUGUGCACUCUGCCCGGCUCAGGCCAGCAUCGGUUCUCGUGGGAGGAUAAGAACAGUGGGAACGUGGCCCCCUCUCGGGGGGGUGUUAUAGCCCAUUGUACGAUACUCUCGUGGGGACCGAGGUUCGCGCUCCGCAAGGAUGCUGGCGUAAUGGUCAUCAGCGACCCG